rnacentral:rRNA from 2 species
AUAAGUCUUUUAAUUGAAGGCUUGUAUGAAUGGUUGGACAAAAAGCAAGCUGUCUCAGUUGUAGUAAUUGAAUUUAACUUUUGAGUGAAAAGGCUUAAAUAAGUUAGGGGGACGAUAAGACCCUAUAAAGCUUGACAAUAAGCCGUCUAUAUUAUAAAUUGUUAGUAUAACUUGAUUUUAAAUGGUGUUUGUUGCGUUGGGGCGACGAGAAUAUAAAAGAUAACUGUUCUUAUAACAUUUAAUAACAGAAAUAUCUGGAAAAUUAAUGAUCCUUUCUUUAAGAUCAUAAGAUUAAGUUACUUUAGGGAUAACAGCGUAAUCUUCCUUGAGAGUUCACAUCGACAGGAAGGGUUGCGACCUCGAUGUUGAAUUAAGGUAUCCUUAUAAUGCAGCAGUUAUAAAGGAAGGUCUGUUCGACCUUUAAAUC